rnacentral:misc_RNA from 1 species
GAUUGGCCUCAUUGCAGCAACAUUCAGUUUCUGUUUAAGAUUUCCUCCAUUUUCUCGUUCAUGUCCAAUAGAAGUGAAAGGUUUAGUUUCUCUGUAUGGCUCAGAUCUUUUUCGACUAGGUGCAGGAGGUAUCAACCAGCUAGGAGGCUUGGUGAGAACUAAGUUGUUAGCAUAUAGUUCUUUGCCUUCCUUUGAACAAAAGAAAAGGAGGCGUUCUGCAUCAUCUUUCUCAAAGGAA